rnacentral:lncRNA from 1 species
GAAAUUAAACCGUCUUAAUUACAGAUUAAAAAUAGUUUUAUAAUAAAAUAAAAUUAAAAAUAAUUUUAUAAUAAAAUAACAUGGAUUUAUAUUAGCUCCUCUUCCUUCAAUAGUUUACUUUCAGCGUCCUCUCCUUCAUCCUUCAUAAGACCUAAAGUACUGAUGCCUCUUUUGUUACGCUUUCUCUUCUUUCUAUGUGGACUUUCUUAUGGCAUAUGACGGAAUGUCUUCUCCUUGAUGGACCAUAGGUGGCGACAAUUACAGUUUGGGCAGAGGCUUCAUCCCCAAUAAAUGAUGAAACACUACACUGGCCUUGUUAGUUGAAACUCUUAUUCUGGCUAAGAAAUCUAGGUCCUGGCCAUGUGACCGUGGCUGCAAUCCUCUGAUCUACUGAACCUUCGAAGUCCACCAUUACUAAUGUGGAGAUUCUCUUGAGGUUGAAGGCGAGGGCUGGAUGUCCCUAUAGCCUCUGGGUGCCAUUUUCAGCUAAUAUUGCUUCGUUUCUUAAUGCCAAUUGUGCGAUCUGUUUGCCAAUUUCUAGGUGUGAAUCUGUUGGUUUUUGUACAAAGAAGAGAAAUGAAGAGAAAAAUCUAUUCAUUGUCAUAAAGUUAUAGAUAUUUAAGCAAAUGCAAAAAGCUGCUAAUUACAUAUUAAAAUAUUAUAGCAGACAGUAAUUUUUUCAUAUUUAGCGAGUAUAUUUUCACUUAAACAACACUUAGGCUAUAUUUCACCAUACCAUACUAAGCUAAGAUUACAAGUAAAGCAAAGAUAAUAAAUAAAAAAAGAAAAGACAUAAUUUUCUGAUACUUACAGCAGCAAAAAUGUCACUGCCAUUUUCACUCC